CACACACACACACUCUCUCUCUCUAUCUCACACACACACACAGUCGGAGACACAGACUAAUCGACCAGUUUCCUUUUCCGACAGCUACUGGUAAUGCAACUCAGGAUUGUGUGACUCAGGGAUCAGAAUCGAACUCAGAUUCGCUCCUCAACAUGUUCGCUCUGAAAAUUUUGGGGCUAAGAAUGAUUCUAUUCAAGUUCAUAGCGAGCGGCGGUUUGCUGACGGCAAGAAUUUGGAUUUCUAAAGG